AAAAAGACCUGGCAGGGGAGAUACUGAUCCCAAAGGUGGUUUUCACAGGGAGAGGCUUAUCUGGAUGCACUCCGGAUGUGCUGACCCCUACGAUUUCCCCUAAUGUAGGAACCUCGGCUGCAUAAUUUGUGGUAGUGGGGGACAGCGUUGGGGCUUUCCCCUG